rnacentral:rRNA from 1 species
CAGCCGCCACGGUAAUACGGAGGGUGCAAGCGUUAAUCGGAAUUACUGGGCGUAAAGCGCACGCAGGCGGUCUGACAAGUCAGAUGUGAAAUCCCCGGGCUUAACCUGGGAACUGCAUUUGAAACUGUCAGGCUGGAGUCUUGUAGAGGGGGGUGGAAUUCCAGGUGCAGCGGUGAAAUGCGUAGAGAUCUGGAGGAAUACCGGUGGCGAAGGCGGCCCCCUGGACAAAGACUGACGCUCAGGUGCGAAAGCGUGGGGAGCAAACAGGAUUAGAUACCCCUGUAGUCCCUGUCUCUUAUAC